rnacentral:rRNA from 1 species
UACGGAGGGUGCAAGCGUUAAUCGGAAUUACUGGGCGUAAAGCGCACGCAGGUGGCUAAGUCAGUCGAUUGUGAAAGCCCUGGGCUUAACCUGGGAAUUGCAGUCGAUACUACUUAGCUCGAGUAUGGGAGAGGGCAGUGGAAUUCCCGGUGUAGCGGUGAAAUGCGUAGAUAUCGGGGAGGAACAUCAGUGGCGAAGGCGGCUGCCUGGCCCAAUACUGACACUCAGGUGCGACAGCGUGGGGAGCAAACAGG